rnacentral:rRNA from 1 species
UACGGGAGGCAGCAGGGGGAAUAUUGCACAAUGGGCGCAAGCCUGAUGCAGCCAUGCCGCGUGUAUGAAGAAGGCCUUCGGGUUGUAAAGUACUUUCAGUCGUGAGGAAGGUGUUAAGGUUAAUAACCUUAGCAAUUGACGUUAGCGACAGAAGAAGCACCGGCUAACUCCGUGCCAGCAGCCGCGGUAAUACGGAGGGUGCGAGCGUUAAUCGGAAUUACUGGGCGUAAAGGGCACGCAGGCGGUUAAUUAAGUUGGAUGUGAAAUCCCCCGGGCUUAACCUGGGAAUGGCAUUCAAGACUGGUUAGCUAGAGUCUUGUAGAGGGGGUAGAAUUCCAUGUGUAGCGGUGAAAUGCGUAGAGAUGUGGAGGAAUACCGGUGGCGAAGGCGGCCCCUGGACAAAGACUGACGCUCAUG